rnacentral:rRNA from 1 species
UACGUAGGGGGCUAGCGUUGUCCGGAAUCAUUGGGCGUAAAGAGCGUGUAGGCGGCCCGGUAAGUCCGCUGUGAAAGUCGGGGGCUCAACCCUCGAAUGCCGGUGGAUACUGUCGGGCUAGAGUGCGGAAGAGGCGAGUGGAAUUCCUGGUGUAGCGGUGGAAUGCGCAGAUAUCAGGAGGAACACCGAUGGCGAAGGCAGCUCGCUGGGACGGUAUUGACGCUGAGGCGCGAAAGCGUGGGGAGCGAACAGG